UGUAAGUUGACAUAGUCCCAGG
rnacentral:miRNA from 2 species